UAAACUUUGAUCCGUAAAUUUC
rnacentral:piRNA from 1 species